UGUGCCGAAAUACGUACGCCGCAGCAGUGGGUGGUGGGCCAUGUUGACGGAGUAGAACAGAAAAUUUUAACGCGAAGGUGGACGGCAUCCACUGUCGGCGAGGUGGGCUGCGGAUCGGAAUUCGGCGCACCCGUCUGAUCCGUGGCUCAGAUGGGGAGCGCCCCCCAGUGCGAGCGUCAUGGAGAGCCGGCGGCGAGGGAGCAUCAAGUUUUUGAUGCAGCCAGCCGACAGAUCCACUUUUAUUGAGGAAGUAGGGGAGAGCUUGGUGCCGCCCCCUGUGGUAUACGGGCGGAGCUGGAGGUGACACGGUAGCAUCUGACCGUGGCCAGCGGCGAAGCACAGAUCGUCGCUGUGAUGGCCAGAUGGGAGAGCUCUCCUCUGACCUUGGAGUUGUCAGUGGGCAAGAUGAGUCCGCAAGCGCCCGUAUGGAAUAAGCGGCCGAGGAUUGGUGCUGCAGCACCCAGGAGGCGCCGUGAUCAAAUCAUAUUAGUGCCUUGGGAAAGCUUGUCAGGUGUUCUGCAGAAAUCCCAGCUGAAAAUGUAAUCACUGAACUACAUUCGACUCGCUGGGUGAGGCGAACAAUUUGUACAAUCUAUAAUUCCUGGGAGAAGGGCUUUGGCUUCAGAUAGUGGAAGAGCCGUGCAGGAAAUAGCGUGCGGGUGCUCAGUAACAGAACCACCGUGCUAGAGGAGGUUAACGACAUCGACGUUCCAAUGGAGCCGCUCCACUACCCAGUGGUCGCAACCGUUGCAGAUCAGCUGCCACCCAUGGCAGGAGUGAGUGUGGAUGGCUGGAUGCGAAGGGUGAGGACAAACAGGAGUGAACGUCAGUAACUUAGUUUGCUGAUUCUGAGAGCUCAAGAUUUUGAAGAUCAUUAUGUUAUGAGAGCUCAAUAUAUUGAUAUCCGAAACAAAUACCCACGAUGCAGAAGAGAUGUAUUGUAAUGAAAUUUCUUAUCGUUCUAUGCAUCGCUAUGCUAUUACACAAUUUGUUAUAUAAGACUUGUUGAUCCUCCGGGUACAAAUUCUACCCUGGCCAACAUAAGGGAGUUGCACAUAGAGUGAACUAGAAAAUGUCAUUAUAUAGUAGUAUUAUUUUUCAUAUCAGUUAGUUAAGCCAAAUAUUUCUUUAUUAUUGUGCUUCACUAGUGAUACAUAAGGCAUUGAUAUUUGAAGGUGCAUAAGCUUCCACACCAACAGUCGAUCAUGAAUUGAUGCCUAAAAACAUUUUGUGCAUUCGACAAUCGUAUGGGAGCAUGGAACCAGUUCCUUCAGUGAAGAGAUACAUUGACUUUGUUGUCAUUUAACAAAUAUUAUGUAUAAAUAAGAUGUCAGCACUGUGUAGAUUUCUGAAAAAGAGAAUGGUGCUAUGGAGGGUGAGUAACAAACAUAUCAUACUUGCCACGCUGAACUCAAUACACGUCCACUGCUACUUUGUUGCUUAUGUACGUGCCAGUAGUGUUGUACUGCUGUCCAAGUUCUUGCCAUUUCAAAUUUAUAUGCUACGGCCGCAUGUAGUUUCAGAUGCUUGUUAUAGCUAAUUGCCAGCUUAGUUAAGCCUAUGUUAUUUGCAUGUUCCAGCAGUGUUACUGGCUGAUGUCUAGAUAUUUAUUUUCAUAUUUCAUUUGCAACAAUCAGUCCAUGCUGGAGAUGGAGAGCAUUGGUCAGAGCGUAGAAUCUACUGCUACAGUUGCGCUGGAAGAUGAUGCCAAUAGCAGUUUCACGGGAUGCAAAGGAGUUGGUUUCCGGCAGUAUAGAUAGUUACAGUACACCAAGGAAGAGAAGUAGCAUGCCAAUCCAUAUUUACACAGCCUAAGGGGAGUGAUGGUAAUACCAGUAUGGAAGCGUUUUACUUGUGCAUGGAAAGGAUGGAGGGAGGAGAAAACUGUAUUGAACGAUCAUGUGAAGAAGUCGAGGAAGAAAGUAAAGCUAACUAGUUGUGGUUGUGAGGCCAUGAUUAGCUUGAGGAGAAGAGAUGAUGGAAAUUAUGAGGUCCUCCGAUUCGUCUGUCAGCACACGCAUCAACUUGUCUCUACGAAUAAGAAACAAUUCACUAGAACUAACAGGGAAGUCAGUAGUGAAUUGAGGAGCACAUUCUUGACAUGUCACAGCAUUGAUGAGCCCUUGCCAGAAAAAUUGGCGUACACUAAUUGGGACCAGGAGAGGUACCCAGAGAAAUUGGUGUCAGACAGAGGUGGGAACUUGAGCCCCCAAUCAUCCUUGCUCAUUGGUCAACCAUCAUAAUAUUCAUUGAAGCAUUUGAACAAAGCAGUCUGGUGCUUCCGUGCAAUGGCCAUAUCCCGCGCCUUGCCAUGGUGCUGGAAUGCAUUUGUGCUGUACCAAAGGGUCGAAAAAAUUGAUCGCUUUCGUUACCAUGCCCCAUACAAUGAUUACCCAGCCUUCUGGGCAUGGUACUGGGAUGAAGAACUGUUGUCCAAACAAAACCAUAACUGGUUAAUGCAGGUCAAAGGUGAAGAGAGCAUGCACAAAUUCUCUGGGGAUGAAUCUGGGGCCUGUGUCAUCCAUAUAGCCCGACACUUUGACGGGGGCAAGUUGAAGUUGCUGCUCGUGAAGCAUAAUGUCUCCAAAACCAAGAUGGAUACACUGCACGAGUGCAUGAAGCUCCAUGGGAAUUCUCCACAGUCUCCCAUGAUGCACUAUCUAGUCUUGGCACCAUCCGAUUCUGCAUCCGACGCUUAGCAAGCCAGAUUAUGCCUGAACCACCGUAUCACUAGCCACUGCGAUUCCCAUAAUAUCUAGUUUGUUAGUUUGCAUUAUGUACCUUCAACCUUGUCACUGUUAUGUACCCUCAACCUUGUCAAUCUUAAGUUAUUUCCAUGGAUGUCUGUCUUGCUCGA